GCAUUCGUGGUUGAAUGGUAGAAUGCUGGCCCGCCACGCAGACUCCCUAGGUUCGAUUCCCGGCCAAUGCA
rnacentral:tRNA from 1 species